rnacentral:rRNA from 1 species
AUACGUAGGUGACAAGCGUUAUCCGGAUUUACUGGGCGUAAAGGGCGUGUAGGCGGUCUUGCAAGUCAGAAGUGAAAUUCCUGAGCUCAACUCGGGCGCUGCUUCUGAAACUGCAGGACUUGAGUGCUGGAGGGGAUAGCGGAAUUCCUCGUGGAGCGGUAAAAUGCGCAGAUAUUAGGAGGAACACCGGUGGCGAAGGCGGCGAUCAGGACAGUAACUGACGCUGAGGCGCGAAAUAGGGGGGAGCAAACAGGAUGAGAUCCCCGGGUAUCCCACGCCGUAAACGAUGAAUACUAGGUGUAGGGGGUAUCGACUCCCUCUGUGCCGCAGUUAACACAAUAAGUAUUCCGCCUGGGGAGUACGGUCGCAAGGUUGAAACUCAAAGGAAUUGACGGGG